rnacentral:tRNA from 1 species
GGGUCGUUAGCUCAGCUGGCAGAGCAGCGGACUUUUAAUCCGUUGGUCGAAGGUUCGAAUCCUUCACGACCCACCA